rnacentral:rRNA from 1 species
UUGUAGCCUGCUAUGGUAUAACUUAGUGGCAGACGGGUGAGUAAUGUAUAGGAAUCUACCUAGUAGUACGGAAUAAUUGUUGGAAACGACAACUAAUACCGUAUACGCCCUACGGGGGAAAAAUUUAUUGCUAUUAGAUGAGCCUAUAUUAGAUUAGCUAGUUGGUGGGGUAAUAGCCUACCAAGGUAAUGAUCUAUAGCUGAUCUGAGAGGAUGAUCAGCCACACUGGAACUGAGAUACGGUCCAGACUCCUACGGGAGGCAGCAGUGGGGAAUAUUGGACAAUGGGCGAAAGCCUGAUCCAGCCAUGCCGCAUGAGUGAAGAAGGCCUUUGGGUUGUAAAGCUCUUUUAGUGAGGAAGAUAAUGACGGUACUCACAGAAGAAGUCCUGGCUAACUCCGUGCCAGCAGCCGCGGUAAUACGGAGAGGGCUAGCGUUAUUCGGAAUUAUUGGGCGUAAAGGGCGCGUAGGCUGGUUAAUAAGUUAAAAGUGAAAUCCCGAGGCUUAACCUUGGAAUUGCUUUUAAAACUAUUAAUCUAGAGAUUGAAAGAGGAUAGGGGAAUUCCUGAUGUAGAGGUAAAAUUCGUAAAUAUUAGGAGGAACACCAGUGGCGAAGGCGUCUAUCUGGUUCAAAUCUGACGCUGAAGCGCGAAGGCGUGGGGAGCAAACAGGAUUAGAUACCCUGGUAGUCCACGCUGUAAACGAUGAAUGUUAAAUAUGGGGAGUUUACUUUCUGUAUUACAGCUAACGCGUUAAACAUUCCGCCUGGGGACUACGGUCGCAAGAUUAAAACUCAAAGGAAUUGACGGGGACCCGCACAAGCGGUGGAGCAUGUGGUUUA